rnacentral:rRNA from 1 species
AUGGAAACUGAUAAGGGAACGGUUGAUGUUGAUGCUGUUGGCCAAGAGAAUGUCUCAGGGAUAGUAAAGGAUAGUAUGCAGCCACAGAAGCGCCUCUCUGUUGAAAAUACUUCAAGUUCUAUCUCGGCAGGGCAAAGUGAGCUUAAUUCUGGAGUAGGGGUUGAUGGGGAAAAUCCAUUGGCAAUGGUGGUGGCGACGGCCCAGCUUGCUGUACCCCCACUACCCCCAGUUUACGUCUCACCACGCAAACAAAAUAAGAGAUACAAACAUGGGGAGGAAGGCAAAGGACAAGCGGGAGUAAAUGCUGGUACUAGCGUUGGGGGCUCAGGAAUGGCAACUUCUUCAAAUACAUCGGCGACCUCCGGACGGGUGGAUCGCCGGGACCAAUGA